AUCUCUACUAAAAAUACACAAAAUUAGCCAGCUAUGGUGGUGGGCACCUGUAAUCCCAGCUACUCGAGAGGCUGAGGCAGGAGAAUCGCUUGAACCCAGGAGGCAGAGGUUGCAGUGAGCCAAGAUCGCACCAUUGCACUCCAGCUUGGGGGACAAGAGCAAAACUCCGUCUCAAAAAAAAAAAAAAAAGAAAAGAAAAGAAAAGAAAAUCCAUCUAGUCCCAAGACUUUAGGUACCUAGAUGCUGACUACAAAAUAGACCCAUCUCUAGGAUGGAGAGCGCUCCACCUCCAUGGCUGUAUGGCUCCCCCAGACCUCUCGACUUGCGUAGCUGUUCGUGUCUUAAGAGCAUCCACAUUGAACUCAUCCCAGCUGAGCUCCUGGCUGCCUCCCGCACCUGCAGCAAUCUUUCUCCUUAGCUCUGCAGUGGAAAUGCCACUCUUCUGGUUGGUCCAGCUGAGGCCUGAGAGGGACCAGGGGGUGACAAACACCCUGGAACUUCACAGCUGGAAGCAACACUCAUUUCACUUGCUCCGUCUCUCCACUGCACUGCUUCUAGCCUGUUAGUGUUCUCGGUUUCCUGAACAUUGCAGGCAUGAUCCUGCCUCAGCACCCUUGGCCCCCCUCACAGUCUAUAUCAAAUGUGUUGGGAAUUCCUAGUGGCUCCACUUCAACUGUCCCCACCUAGGCACCUCUCUCUCUCCCCUCCACGCCACCCUGGGCCACGUCUCCAUCAGGCUCUCACCUGUGUCCUGGCCACAGCCCCCACCUGGUCUUGAGUGCCCUGCCCCAUUCACAGGGAUUCUCUGAGCACACCUCUGCUCUAAGCCAUUUCUCCAGUGGCUUCCAACUUCAUGCAAAGCAAGAGCCAAAGUCCUUUCAACAGUCUACAGAGCCCUAUAUUCACUGUUCUCAACAGUAGAGAGCCAGAGAGCUGGCAGCGUGAGGAACCCCAGAAUCCCUGCCAGCGUGGUUCGGAGGCAGCAGGCCUGGGGUGGGCCUGAUAACUGGCAUUUCUACCGGGUCUCCAGGCAAGGCUCUGCUGCUGGGCCUUGCCCUCCGUGAUCUGUGCUCCCGGCCCCCGGGAACCACACGUGGAGGCGAAAGCAACUCCAGCUUGGAUGCCAACCCACCAUGCUGACUUUGAAUAGACCCCAGUUCCGGAAGGCCUCUAUGAUUUCUAAGUUAUCUGCUGUUUGUUGUGUAAGAGCACCCACUUAAAUCUCACCCUUAGGUCAAAACAACCUUGACCAUAACUCCUGUCCUUAGGCAAAUUCACAUAGCAUUCUUGCAUAUGUGAAAUUUCCCUACAAUUGUCCUACACCUUCCUUCUGGCACUGUGUAAGUCUGAGGAGUAAUGGGGAUCCACCAUCUAGUCUUGCUGCUGACAGAGAUAUAGACAUGGCUUCUGUUCACACGUUCCUGUUAAAUGUUUCUUUCUGGAUUACCACGGUGGCUCACACCUAUAGUCCCAGCUCCUAGGGAGGCGGAGGCUAGAGGAUCACUUGAGCCCAGGAGUUUAACUCGGCAGUGAGCUAUGAUUGAGCCACUACACUCCAGCCUGGGUGACAGAGCAAGACCCUGUCUCUAAAAAAAUUAAUGAAUAAAUAAAUAUUUCUUUCUAAGAAACUGGAUUUUUCAGCCUCUUUCUUCAGCCUCUCAGCUUCCUCAGACUUUGGAGGUAGGUUUGCAUAGACCUGCCCACUGCAGAACACACAUCUUGAACAUUCAUGCCCUUACACAGUCCUCUCCCCCUAAAUGUGGUGGACCCUGGGACUCACUUUAAUUAAUUAAAUGUGGCAGAAGUGGUGCUGUGCCACUUAUGGGCCUAAGCCUUGAGAAGACUUGGCAGCCUCCACUUUUGCACUCUUGGGAGCUCUGAACCACCACAUAAGAAGGCCAGCUAUCCUGCCAAAAGUUUCAUGGAGAGAACACACAGAAAGGCCACAGAAGGGAGAGAGGCCCUGGGACCACAUGGAGAGACAUAGAGAGAGAAAUCCAGUCAUCCCAGCACCCCCAUUCUGGCCAGCCCAGCUGACAUCCCAGCUAACAGCAGCCACAUGGAGGGCCACCAGCAAGACCAGCAGAAGAGCCGCCCAGACGAGCCCAGCCCAGAUUGCAGACUCAUGAAGAAAUAAAAUGGGUUGUUUUCAGCUGUGCAGUGUGGGGGUAGUUUGUCAUUUCUGCUUCUUCUCUGACCUCAGGUCACAUGCCUUUUGCUGUUGUCAAACGCCACAAGCACAGUCCUGCUUUAGGACUUUUGCACUUACUGGUCUCCCAGCCUAACCUUCUUUUCUCCCAGCUACCUGCUUGGGGUGUUCCCACACCUCUUUAGGCCUCUGCUCAAAUCUCACCUGAAUACCCAAUUUAAAAUUCUGACCCUCUCAAUCUCUCUCCCCAGCUUCAUCUUUUCCAAAGGACUUACUACCAUAGGAGGCUUCCCAGAUUUACCUGCUUAUUUCUUUGUGUCUGUCUCCCCUUGUCGAGAAUGUGAAUUCCUUGAGCUGCCUGAAUUGCUCAUCAUUGCUUAGACGGCUUGUGAAGGCAAACAUAUUGCCCCAUAAAUUCUCAACUGUCCUGUGCAGAGCGUCAUGAGUCACCCGGGGUUCUUAAGGAUGAAUGGAUGGUGGAGCGGCUUCUCAGGAAGAUUAGCGAGAAGUCACGGCUGCGCUUGCCAGGCCAGGCCUCUGCAGAACUGACUCACGUGGACAAGGAAACAGCAUCAGGGUAGGCGGCCUGACACGGAACUUUGAGAGCAGCGAUUCUGCAACCUUCCACAUAGGCGUACCCCCAUGUGUCGGGGCGUCUCCCCAUUUUGUUGUUGCUUUUUCUUAUAGGCUAAAAAUGUUCACAUCUUCUGAUUGGACAGUCCAAGUUCUAGAACUCUAUUCACAUAAAUGCUACCAGAAGUGCUUCAGGAUGAAUGGACAGGCUGUGUUGAGUGUCUAAACAUGGGCACAUACCUUCAAUACAGCAUCUGGUUAUGGAGAGCCAAGAUCUCACCAUUGCACUCCAGCGUGGGCAAUAAGAGAAAAACUCUGCCUCAAAACAAGCAAGCAAGCAAACAAACAAAGAAAGAAAACUGAGACAGUUAAGUGGGAAAAGCGAGUUUCAAGCAACAAGCCUAGCAUAGUUCCACGUUUAGAAAAAACCCAGACUCCCACGAGUGUCAGGGCUGUGUGCAUGGGAACAGCUCAGGAAGGGCACGUGGUCAGCUGUGUUAGGAUUGACCCAGAAAGUACAGUGGGGAACCUUCCA
rnacentral:lncRNA from 1 species